rnacentral:rRNA from 1 species
UACGUAGGUGGCAAGCGUUGUCCGGAAUUAUUGGGCGUAAAGCGCGCGCAGGCGGGUUUUUAAGUCUGUCUUAAAAGUUCGGGGCUUAACCCCGUGAGGGGAUGGAAACUGGAAACCUAGAGUAUCGGAGAGGAAAGCGGAAUUCCUAGUGUAGCGGUGAAAUGCGUAGAUAUUAGGAAGAACACCAGUGGCGAAGGCGGCUUUCUGGACGAAAACUGACGCUGAGGCGCGAAAGCCAGGGGAGCAAACGGGAUUAGAUACCCCGGUAGUCCUGGCCGUAAACGAUGGGUACUAGGUGUAGGAGGUAUCGACCCCUUCUGUGCCGGAGUUAACGCAAUAAGUACCCCGCCUGGGGAGUACGAUCGCAAGGUUGAA